CUACGUGCCAGCAGCCGCGGUAAUACGGAAGGUCCGGGCGUUAUCCGGAAUUAUUGGGUUUAAAGGGAGCGCAGGCGGGAGUAUAAGUCAGCUGUUAAAUAUCAGAGCCCAACUCUGUUAUGCAGUUGAAACUAUAUUUCUUGAGUACGCACAGGGAUGGUGGAAUUCAGGGUGUAGCGGUGAAACGCUUAGAUAUCCUGAAGAACUCCGAUCGCGAAGGCAGGUGUCCGGGCUGCAACUGACGCUGAGGCUCGAAAGUGUGGGUAUCAAACAGGAUUAGAUACCCUGGUAGUCCACACAGUAAACGAUGUAUACUCGCGGUUUGCGAUAUAUUGUAAGCCGCCAAGCGAAAGCAUUAAGUAUACCACCUGGGGAGUACGCCGGCAACGGUGAAACUCAAAGGAAUUGACGGGGGCCCGCACAAGCGGAGGAACAUGUGGUUUAAUUCGAUGAUACGCGAGGAACCUUACCCGGGCUUGAAC
rnacentral:rRNA from 1 species